AUAUUUCAAUGCGCCGUUGAAGCAACAUUCGGAAUAUUUGCGAACAAGUUUGUAAUACCUCCAUUUUUCUUAUCCCUAUGCAAAGGUAAACGAAGGAAUGAAUUCAGAAUUACGAAAUUGUUUAGAACUGGAAUUAAAGUAUAGAGAUGGGUUAAUCAAAAUAAUUAGAAUCUGCGGACAAAAUCGAAUUCAAUAUAUGGAAGCCUGCAAGGAAUUAUUCGUUUCCAAUUACAGAAUUAGGAGUUACUUAAGUUACAUGGAUGAGGAAAAAUUUAGCCCACUGAACCCAAUUUUAAACUAUAGGAGUAAUCCAAAUUAUCCGUCUGUGGAGCAAAGUACGUUUAUGGAACUCAACAAACACCAUAAUAAAUCCAAAAUUAAUAGUAAUUUAACAGCGAUCAAGUCUCCUUGCGCAGAUUUGGCUUCAAAAUACAGACUUGUCGGAAAAGACUAUUGCCACGACACUGAAUGCAAAGAAUCUUCAAACUCUUCUACUACUGACUCAGGCUUAGGAAACAACCUAGAUAUCCAUUCAUGUAGUUCUAUUAAUAACGAUUGCUAUUCCACCGAUAUUAACGCUAACUUUUAUCCGUUACCCUUAAUGGAAAAAUGUGAAAACACUUGUAUAACCGAUAUUGCAUUGAAUAAAU